GGUUUUAAGAGAAAGAAGAGCAGUAUGUCAAAAUGUUGCUCGCGCAGCAAUCCGACGCUCUCGCACGUAAAGGUGGUAAAAUUGCUGGAUGUGGCCAAAUAGAUCUUGACAAACGUUUUAAAAGUGUUCAAGGAGCAUCUGUCUACCGCCAGGAAGCCUGGAAGCGGCAGCAAUCGUAAACCGGACGUGGGAGCAACGACGAAGAAGAUGGCGGCGAAAUAUAAACGGAAUUCUAACCUCUCCAUUCGGGACGUCGUUGACUAGUUCAAUGUGUCCCAUAAAACUGAAGCGGACCAAGAAACGGGUAAUCGACGUUUAAGAAGAUGAAAGUGACGAACCGAGAUUACAAACAAAACACGUCUGCAAAGCAGCGGUCCCGAAUGCUGUAAAUGAAUCUACUCAUAAAGUUCGACUGUGUCGUCAUGGACAACGAAACUAAUGUGAAGGCGAAUUUCAAGCAGCUUCCGGGAUAGGAGUUUUAUACCGCAUCAAGAAAAGGGAAGGUGGCCGAAAUUUUCAAAAUCAUCAAACUAUCGAAAUUCCCGAUAAGUUCCCGUCGGGCAGGCCAUGCAUAUAUGGUCUACAAAGCGGCAUUUUCAUCACUACGGAAACUAUCAAUCAAGAGAUCUACGUUCAGAAGUGCCUGGAAAAGCGGCUGCUACCAUUCCUAAAGCAACAUUGUAGACCUGUGCUGUACUGGCCGUUGCUGAACGCAUUAUGAUGUGAAAAUUUAAUACCUAAACCGAACGGUAUCGUAUGCACAAUUGUCUUUCUUGUUCCACAUUGUCACAAUAUAUUCAUAAUUUAUUGUUGAACGUUAACGUUGUGUUUGCAACCGGUACAUCGUCAUCGACGUACUUCCGAUUGACCGGCACAUCCUUCGGCUUAGUGGACCACCACUACACCUAACCCAUUAAGGACCUUUAAUUACCUUCUGGUCUGGCCAUAAGCAAGAAAUGCCCCUCCCGUCAGAACCACUCCGGUACCGUCCUGAGCCCAUCGAUAUUCUUCGGCGAGAGGAGACGCUUUGUAAAGGUCAACGCUCCAUAUGUCACCUGGCCGAAGACUCAUGUUAGUAGCAUGGUAAUGCAGCUGAAGUCUGAUCCUCCACUCUCUCUCUCCAUCAAGGGAUGACUCUCCGAAAUCGACAGUCAUCAAACCGAAAGUAUCCAGAGAAGGUACCAGAGUAGAAAGCUUAAAAGCAUAUUGAACUAAUUUAUCAAAAAUAUCAACCAAAUAAUACUGUAUUCAUAACUACGCGGAUUUCAUCCGGGAAGAUCCUAAUCCAUGGAGUGGCGACAACAUCGCAGAAUUUCAGUGUGAAAUUCCGAAAACAUCUAGAAGCUUUGCGAAACUCUACCCAUCGGUCCGGGGAAAAGUGAAAACACGAAAAUGUUGUGCCAAAUAUCAAAGAUUGUACGAAAUGUGGCGAAAGAAAUCUCUGUAUUGGAAGUCGAAAUUCAAUCAGCUGAGCAAGCAGUUCGUAGAACCACAGUGCCUCGUAAAGUGUUCAAUAAAGACCAGAUUCAGGUGGCAAGAUAGCC